rnacentral:sRNA from 1 species
AGGCCUGAGCUUAAGGGUUCGUUAACCAAAGCCCUGUCUACUGCAGGCAAUUCGCUUUCGGCCCGCGACCACGGAUGUACUGGCGCAGAACGUCGCAGCGAUAGGAAAGGUCGGCGCAAUGCCGGCCUUUUGCUUU